AGAGUUUGAUCCUGGCUCAGGAUGAACGCUAGCGGCAGGCUUAACACAUGCAAGUCGAGGGGCAGCGCGGGAUAGCAAUAUCCUGGCGGCGACCGGCGGAAGGGUGCGUAACGCGUGAGCGACAUGCCCGUUGCCCGGGGACAACCGGUGGAAACGCCGACUAAUCCCCGAUGGGAUACGAUGCUUCAUGGCAUUGUAUUGAAAGUUACGGCGGCGACGGAUUGGCUCGCGUCCGAUUAGCUUGUUGGCGGGGUAACGGCCCACCAAGGCUGCGAUCGGUAGGGGUUCUGAGAGGAAGGCCCCCCACAAUGGGACUGAGACACGGCCCAUACUCCUACGGGAGGCAGCAGUGAGGAAUAUUGGUCAAUGGGCGGAAGCCUGAACCAGCCAUGCCGCGUGCGGGAAGGAGGCCCUAUGGGCUGUGAACCGCUUUUGCCUGGGGGCAAUAAGGGCGUCGCGCACGUCCGAUGAGAGUACCAGGCGAAUAAGCAUCGGCUAACUCCGUGCCAGCAGCCGCGGUAAUACGGGGGAUGCGAGCGUUAUCCGGAUUCAUUGGGUUUAAAGGGUGCGUAGGCUGUGCGUCAAGUCGGGGGUGAAAUUCCGGUGCUCAACACCGGGGCUGCCCUUGAUACUGUCGCGCUGGAGUGCGGAUGCCGCCGGAGGAAUGAGUGGUGUAGCGGUGAAAUGCUUAGAUAUCACUCAGAACACCGAUUGCGAAGGCAUCUGGCGAAUCCGUAACUGACGCUGAGGCACGAAAGCGUGGGGAUAGAACAGGAUUAGAUACCCUGGUAGUCC
rnacentral:rRNA from 1 species